CUGCCACGUGAGGACACAGCAUGAAGCCUGUGACCCAGAAGAGGACCCUCCCGCCGACCACGCUGGUAUCCUGAUCUCAGGCUUCCAGUCUCCAGAACUCCUCUGGAACUAUGAGCCCCCUCGUCUAUGACAGUGUGUUAAUGCAGCCCAAGCAGAUGAAAUCGGUGUAUGGCCACCAAGACCCAACCAGGACUCUUAGUCUUUGCUCCAGAGCUCCUCAUCAGGCUGAUUCAGACUUCGGCAGGUCUGCAUUACAGUCCUCCCCUUACUGGUAACUCAAAGGAUCUGGGCAGAAGAAUCUCAUGGAUUUUGAAUGCUGACCUCCCUGACCCUUAAUCAGAACGCUUCACUGUCCUGCCAUCCAGUGUCCAUCUCAGAGGGACGUUUGUAAGGAGUUGCUUUAUCUGGUCCUCAGGGGCAGCCCUACUGACGUUUUGUGGCAGGGCAAUUUCUAGUUAUGGGGGACUACUCCCUGGCAUUUGGGGAUAUUUAUGUCCCCGUCCCCCACCUGCCUCCCUCCAGCCCUUGUGAGGACUGAAAACAUUUGCACAUUUUGAAAUGUGCUCCAGCACCCCAACCUUUGAAAACCAGUGCUGGAGGGGUUGAUGGUGAGCCCCUACCUUAUAGAUGAGGGAACCAGGGCUUAGAGAAGCUGGAUAGCAAGGUCACGCUAGACAUGAGCAGCGGAUUUGGUACUCCAUAAAUGUAAGUGCUUUCCUAACUUCCCUCUGCAGAGGGCGUUUAAGUGAGUAGCAAGUUAUUUAAGUUAGUGCAUGUAUGAUAGGACACAAUUUAUUAAAUAUUUUCACAGAGCUGCGUUUCACAGUGAGGUUCACUUGUCAGAUGGUCAUGCUAACAAAGAUAGAGUAAAUGAUAGAGAAGUCGAUAGAAGAAACGAUAGAGAAGUCACAAAGUACAAAGACCAUGAGGCGUUUGAGGAAAGAUUAUAGGAAGAAAUUAUAAAUAAACUGGGCGAUUCAGCCUAGAAAUUGGAAUGAGGAUUUGCUAGUGGCCUUCGAGCAUAUGAAGGAUUUUUGCACAGAGAAUGGUGUGAAUAUGUGACAUGCUAUAAGGUCAGAGAUGCUGUGAGUGAAUGGUGUUUGCAUCGGGAUAGUGUUUGUAAAGAGCUUGAAAGCUUACCAAGCACUUUCAUAUACAUUAUCUCAUCUAAAUAAUUUUUCUAUCAUUGAGUCGAGUUUAAGGCGGUAGUGUUAUAUGUACUUGUUACGUACAUGCAUAAAAAUGGGAGAAAACAAACAUUACUGAUAAAAAUCAGAGAAAAGACUACUGAAUAUAAACAUAUGAUGAUUCGGUUUUAAUUAGAUAGGAAGAUGGGAGUUCAUAUAGGCAGGCCCGUGUCUGACCAUCAGACGCCUAGGAAAUUCAGGGAACUGGCUAAUUUUAAUGGAAGGUCUAUGCAUGCAUUACAAGACCCGCCUAACCGAACGCACCAACAGACAGACCAUCAAUCAAAGUGAAAUCAAAUUCAAAGAGAAAAUACGUAUCCGUGACAUAUUGCAGAUGGUCACUGAAAACAAACCCCAAAUUAGAAGGAGUUGGGAACCAGGAUUAUCAGGAACGCAUGAGGCACAAUGCAAAGACAGGAUAAAAAAGAUGAUAUAAGAGAAAACUCUGGAAAAAACAGAAGAAUUCUGAGAAGAACUCCUUACGUGAAAAAAAAUUGCAUGCAAGCCAGAACCAUCUAAUUCAUUAUUCAUGAGGGAUUGUUCGUCGUGUUACCUGUGUGUGUAACCCCAAUAACCAGAAAUGACAUAAGAGGUAAGAAUAAUUGACUAUGUAUGCUGCAUGAAUAUGUGUUUUCACAGUUACAUUAUCUGACUGAGUUUUAAAUCCAGGAAUUAUCUCCUGUGAUGGCGCUAUUAUCCCUUCCUCUUUGACAUUAUUUAUUCAAUAAAUAGCAUACCCACUGUGUGCCAAGCCUCCUUUAGGCACUGGUGAGGCAGUAGAGAACAGAAUAAACAUAUUUUUGCUCUCAUGGAGAUUACUUUCUUGAAUGU